AGUGAACGCUGGCGGCGUGCUUAACACAUGCAAGUCGAACGAGUAGGUGCUGUAGCAAUACAGAUUACUGCUAGUGGCAGACGGGUGAGUAAUACAUGGGAAUCUACCUUGAAGUCUGGGAUAACUGUUGGAAACGACAGCUAAUACCGGAUAUUGCCGAGAGGUGAAAGUUUUUCGCUUCAAGAUGAGCCCAUGCAAGAUUAGCUAGUUGGUAGGGUAAUGGCCUACCAAGGCGAAGAUCUUUAGCUGGUCUAAGAGGAUGAUCAGCCACACUGGAACUGAGACACGGUCCAGACUCCUACGGGAGGCAGCAGUGGGGAAUAUUGGACAAUGGGCGAAAGCCUGAUCCAGCGACGCCGCGUGAGUGAUGAAGGCCUUCGGGUUGUAAAGCUCUUUCAGUAGGGAAGAUAAUGACGGUACCUACAGAAGAAGCUCCGGCUAACUUCGUGCCAGCAGCCGCGGUAA
rnacentral:rRNA from 1 species